rnacentral:rRNA from 1 species
AGAGUUUGAUCCUGGCUCAGGAUGAACGCUAGCGGCAGGCUUAAUACAUGCAAGUAGAAAAAAAAGCAUGUCCCGCAGCAAUGCGAGAUGAUGGCGACCGGCAAACGGGUGCGGAACACGUACACAACCUUCCUUUAAGUGGGGGAUAGCCCAGGGAAACUAAAAAUUAAUACCCCGUAACAUAAUGAAAAGGCAUCUUUUUAUUAUUAUAGUAGCAAUACGCUAAUUGAUGGGUGUGCGGCUGAUUAGGUAGUUGGCGGGGUAACGGCCCACCAAGCCGACGAUCAGUAACUGGUGUGAGAGCACGACCAGUCACACGGGCACUGAGACACGGGCCCGACUCCUACGGGAGGCAGCAGUAAGGAAUAUUGGUCAAUGGACGCAAGUCUGAACCAGCCAUGCCGCGUGGAGGAUGAAGGUCCUCUGGAUAGUAAACUUCUUUUAUCUGGGAAGAAAUCCAUUUUCUAAAAUGGUGACGGUCCCAGAGAAAACCCCGGC